rnacentral:rRNA from 1 species
UACGUAGGGGGCUAGCGUUGUCCGGAAUCAUUGGGCGUAAAGAGCGCGUAGGCGGCUAGAUAAGUCCGGUGUGAAAGUCACAGGCUCAACCUGUGAAUGCCGCUGGAAACUGUCUGGCUAGAGUCCGGAAGGGGCGAGUGGAAUUCCUGGUGUAGCGGUGAAGUGCGCAGAUAUCAGGAGGAACACCGAUUGCGAAGGCAGCUCGCUGGAACGUUACUGACGCUGAGACGCGAAAGCGUGGGGAGCAAACAGG